GUACAGGGCCCAUUGGGUACUGUGAUUGGAAUGAAUACAAUUUAAAAACCUUAAUGAGGAACGAUUGGAGGGCAAGUCUGGUGCCAGCAGCCGCGGUAAUUCCAGCUCCAAUAGUGUAUAUUAAAGUUGCUGCAGUUAAAAAGCUCGUAGUUGGAUUUCGGAUUAAUGGGAGUUAAGGUCCAUCAAUUUGAUGUGUACCUUAUUCUCGUUUCCUUCCUUUUGAAUACACUCCCUGAAAUUUUUUUUGGGGAUCAAAGUGUUUCAAAUCUUUUACUGUGAAGAAAUUAGAGUGUUCAAAGCAGGCGUAAUCUAGCCUUUGAAUAUAUUAGCAUGGGAUAAUGAAAUAGGACUUUAGUUCUACUUUCGUUGGUUUCUAGGGCUAAAGUAAUGAUUAAUAGGGAUAGUUGGGGUCACUAGUAUUUAAUUGUCAGAGGUGAAAUUCUAAGAUUUAUUAAAGACUAACUACUGCGAAAGCAUUUGACAAGGAUGUUUUCAUUAAUCAAGAACGAAAGUUGGGGGAUCGAAGAUGAUCAGAUACCGUCGUAGUCUCAACCAUAAACUAUGCCGACCAAGGAUCCGGGGGUGUUAAAUAUGGAUGACUCUCCGGGCACUUAUAGAGAAAUCAUAAGUAUUUGGGCUCCGGGGGGAGUAUGGUCGCAAGGCUGAAACUUAAAGGAAUUGACGGAAGGGCACCACAAGGAGUGGAACCUGCGGUUUAAUUUGACCCAACACGGGGAAACUUACCAGGUCCAGACACAGUGAGGAUUGACAGAUUGAGAGUUCUUUCUUGAUUCUGUGAGUGGUGGUGCAUGGCCGUUUCUAGUUGGUGGAGUGAUUUGUCUGGUUAAUUCCGUUAACGAACGAGACCUUAACCUAUUAAAUAGUUGCUUGAACACAUGAAUAUUUUAUUCUUUGUUCGGUUAACUUCUUAGAGGGACUCUUCACUGAGAGAGUGAAUGGAAGUUUGAGGCAAAAACAGGUCUGUGAUGCCCUUAGAUGUUCUGGGCCACACGCGCGUUACACUGACAUAUUCAACGAGCAUUUUCCUGGCCCGAUGGGGUUGGGUAAUCUUUUAAAUGUAUGUCGUGCUGGGGAUAGAUCAUUGUAAUUAUUGGUCUUGAACGAGGAAUUCCUAGUAAGUGCAAGUCAUCAACUUGCGCUGAUUACGUCCCUGCCCUUUGUACACACCGCCCGUCGCUCCUACCGAUUGAAUGGUCCGGCGAGAACUCAAGAUGGAAAUAGGUUUUGGACACCGUCA
rnacentral:rRNA from 1 species